GACGAACGCUGGCGGCGUGCUUAACACAUGCAAGUCACGGGGGCUGAGCAAUCAGCAACCGGCGAACGGGUGCGUAACACGUGAGCAACCUGCCGAUCUGUGGGGGAUAGCCGGGCUAACGCCCGGGUAAUACCGCAUACGUUCUCUUGGGGGAGUCCCUGAGAGAGGAAACCUCCGGGGCAGAUCGAGGGGCUCGCGGCCUAUCAGCUAGUUGGCGGGGUCAUGGCCCACCAAGGCGACGACGGGUAGCUGGUCUGAGAGGAUGGCCAG
rnacentral:rRNA from 1 species